rnacentral:rRNA from 1 species
ACGAACGACUGCGGCAUGCCUAACACGAUAGCAAGUCGAACGGAGUUAUUAUUCUGAAGUUCUUCGGGAGUGAAGGAGUAAGAACGUUAGUGGUCGGACGGGUGAGUAACGACGUGGGUAACCUGCCCGUUUUGUGGGGUAACGAACUUACGAGAAAUCGGAGCUAAUACCGCAUAAUAAUAGAGGAUCGCAUGAUUCUUUAAGGAAAGAUGGCCUCUGAAGAUGCUAUCGCAAAAGGAUGGACCCGCGUCUGAUUAGCCAGUUGGAAGGGUAACGGCCUACCAAGGCAACGAUCAGUAGCCGGCCUGAGAGGGUGAACGGCCACAUUGGGACUGAGACACGGCCCAAACUCCUACGGGAGGCAGCAGUGGGGAAUCUUCCGCAAUGGGCGAAAGCCUGACGGAGCAAUGCCGCGUGAGUGAAGAAGGCCUUCGGGUUGUAAAACUCUGUCCUUAUCGAAGAGAGGUAGGUAUGUGAAUAAUGUACCCAUAGGACGGUAGAUAAGGAGGAAGCCCCGGCUAACUACGUG